AAAAGGCAAAAAAGACAAAAAAAAAAAAAAAAACCUUCAUGUAAAGAGCAUCAUAUUCUAUGUACCUGUCCAUCACCUGGUUUUUACUUGUGAGAAUUUCCUGUGUUAAUAAUCUGGCCAUUUCCUUUAUUCUAAAGGAUUUGUCCAUUCUCUCCCCCGUGGAUGUUUUAAGCCAACCCUGACUUUGAUUACAAGCAAUGUUGAUGACGGACUCGUGGUAAGAGGGGAUCUGUGCUCGUGACAGUCUCCACAGGGGCUGGCAAGUUCACAAUCUGUUGGGCAGACUGGCAGGCUGGAAAUCAGGACAGUAAGGGCUGUGUGGAUAAACAGGUGGAUCACGCAGCAGAGGCUCUUCACAAAUCAGAUGUACUUAGCACCUUAUCCAAUGACCGCCGUGGGCUUAGCGCAUAGUCCCUGGAUUCCAAGUGCUGGAUAGACUGAUGGGUGACAAGUGCAAACUGUACAAAUCCCACCUGAGGAAGACUGAGCACGAAACAGUGAGUGUGGCCCCCAAGUGCUGUAGACAUUCAGAGAAAGUAGAGAUGAAAGAGGAGGCAGGUUUGGAUGGGCAAAGAGAACCCUCAAGGCGUGAGGGUUAAAAUGAGCAAAGACCAUGAAGUAGGAAAUCAUGAGAAGACCAGUCUGGCUGGAGUGAAAGAUGCGGAACCCCAGCGGGCGGGCAGCCAGCCAGAAAAGGAUGUGGGCUUUAGAAGUAGCCUAGGAACGGUUAAGAGCUGUGUGACAUUUACGGGGCAUGGAGUCCCACUUUUGAAAGCUCAUCCAGCUCUUGGUCUCUGACUUCUCUGCUCCUCCAUAAACUCUAUUUAGAUCUCCUGGUAUCACGCCGACUGGUUGUAUGAUAAUGCACCAUUUGUAAUUAUUUUUAUGUUUAUCCAAAUGUAACUAUCAUCAAUAAGGUUUUGAAGGGAAAGAAUAUUAGAGUGUUCUGUGGCACACAGGAAGUGCUCAAUACAGAUGACUUAACAUCUGUACCCUCGUCACGUAGCACAGGGCCUGGCAUCAGGGGCAUUCUGCACAUCUUUGCUGAACGUCGGGGUUCAGUUGCAGAUGACAGAGUCCACUGCAGUUACUUUAAAAAGAAAGGGAUUUUUUUUUAACCAAUUAACUUUUUAAAAAUUGAGGUAUAAGGGUAUAAAAAUUGAUUUACAAGAGUGUGUCCAUUUCAGAUGCCCAGCACAAUGGUUCAGCUACAAUAUGUGUACAUAUUCUUUUUCAGAUUCUUUUCCAUUAUAGGUUAUUUUAAGAUAUUGAAUAUAGUUCCCAGAGCCAUAAAGCAGUUCCUUGUUGGUUAUCUACUUUAUAUAUAGUCAUGUGUAUCUGUUAAUCCCAAACUCACAAGUUACCCAUCCUUCCCCUUUGGUAACCACAAGUUUACUCUCUAUAUCUGUGAGUCUGUAAGAAAGGGAUUUAAUACAGAGCAUUAGCUGCUUACAAAAUUGUUGGAAGGGCUAAAGGCUUGGGAUUUUAGGCUGGGCCCCCAGGAAUGACUCUCAGGAGAACAGGACUGCAACAUAGAGCCACCAAAAGAACUUCAGGAAUCUGGGCAGUCGGCACACUAUGCUACUGCCUGCCAGGCUCCAGAGUCGCACCGCUCAGCCAUACCCCAGGAUUAGGAAGUAGCCAUUGCUAAUGCUGGUCCCAGGCACACACGGUCCCAGCUGUGAUCCUGGCAUCAAAACCUACCAUCAAACCUGUUGACUGCAAAACCAGCUGUGUGUGCAUUUGAGCUCUGCCUCCUGCCCACUUAACUCGGUUCCUAAUUCCAGACUGUGUGAGUGCAUUUGAGUGACAAAUAGCAAUCACAUAGGAAACAUUAGUUGCAAAGGGUUUGGAAAAUUCCACUUUGAGUCUUUGAAAGUGACUGCAAUACACGAAAGCCCUUAGAAGAAGAUUAGAAUAAAUAAAUAAACCUGAAUAGGAAAUCCUCAUCUGCUUCCUAUUCCAAGCAUACACGAUUUAAUAUAGUUACCUGGAAAAGUCCAAACACUCACCCUCUUCCCUGCCCCCAGUUUGUACUCAAUCUAACUAUAGAUUGGAGAAAUGAUUGGCUCAUCCGGGCUGGGGCAAGGCCCCAGGGCUGGGGGGAUUAGGCAUGCUCCUGAGGGAGAGCAGCUCUGCCCACACGGAAGACCUGACACUGGAUCCCAACGGCACGAUUCAUGGAAAGGACGCCACUGUGUCCACCCUCCCCCACCCCUCAGGAAGCACCAGCCACUAAGUUAAUUCAUAGUAGAGCCGAUAGUGGUCCCAAUGCCUAGACAGUUCUCUCCUUUUUUUCUGAUUAUAAAGGUAAUCAAUGCUUGUCCUGGAACAUUAGAAGAUACAUCCAAUAAGAAAAAAGGGAAAAUUAAUCUAUAAUUAUACCACACAUUUUGGCACUUUCUCUGUCUUAUUUCUCAAAGUCAUAGGAUUUUAAAAGCAAUCCAGGGAGUUCCCGCUGUGGCUCAGCAGACUAUGAACCCAACUAGUAU